rnacentral:lncRNA from 1 species
CCUCCUUUAUCAUGUUAAACAGUCCUUUGGCUUUUCUUAUUCCUCCUCUCCUGGAGAGCUGUGAUUAGAAACCACACCCAUCCUUGAAUGAGGUGCUUGAAAGGGGGGUGGGGUAGGAGGGAGGCUGGCUACCUGUGAACAAACAUUGGCAGCAAUGAGGGAAAAUGAGUGUCCCUGGACUUUGGACUAGAUUACAGCCAGAUAUUUCAAAAGCAGCGAGACACUGCUCUCUGCAGCCUCUGACAACAACUGAGACCAUAACACACUUGCUUAAGCUUUAGAAACG